rnacentral:tRNA from 1 species
GGGUCCAUAAGCUAAUUGGUAAACUGUCGGUCUCCAAAACCGAUUUUCCAGGUUCAAGUCCUGGUGGACCCGCUA